rnacentral:rRNA from 1 species
AUACGUAGGUGGCAAGCGUUGUCCGGAUUUACUGGGUGUAAAGGGAGCGUAGACGGAAGGCCAAGUCUGAUGUGAAAGCCCGCGGCUCAACUGCGGGACUGCAUUGGAAACUGGUCAUCUGGAGUGCAGGAGGGGAAAGCGGAAUUCCUAGAGUCGCGGGGAAAUGCGUAGAUAUUAGGAGGAACACCGGUGGCGAAGGCGGAUUUCUGGACAGUAACUGACGAUGCGGGGCGAAAGCGUGGGGAGAAAAAAGGAUUAGAUACCCUGGUAGUCCGCGCCAUAAACGAUGAAUACUAGGUGUAGGGGGUAUCGACCCCCUCUGUGCCGACGUUAACGCAUUAAGUAUUCCACCUGGGGAGUACGGCCGCAAGGCUGAAACUCAAAUGAAUUGACGGGG